GGAUAUCGGCCAUCUUGGAUGACUGGAAACAAGUACAAGUCGCGAGCUGACAAGACAAACCAAGCCAUGAGCGAAAGGAAGGUUCUUGUUCAGUACGGCGAAAGCUGUAAAGCUUUAGUGGUGGAGAAAGCUUUUGUGGAAA